rnacentral:rRNA from 1 species
UAGGCGAGCUACUUCAAAACAGCCCAAAGAGCUAACCCGUCUCUGUGGCAAUAGAGUGGGAUGAUUUUUAAGUAGAAGUGACAAGCCUAACGAGCCUAGAGAUAGCUGGUUAUUCAGGAAAAGAAUAUAAGUUCUACCUUAAAUCCCCCUAUGAUAUUAAACAUAAACUAAGAUUUAAGAGCUAUUCAAUUAAGGCACAGCUUAUUUGAAGCAGGAAACAACCUAAACGUCAGGGUAAAUUAUUAACUAUUAUAUAAAGUGGGCCUAAAAGCAGCCACCUUUAAAAAAGCGUUAAAGCUUACUAUUAACAUAUAAUAAAUUCCAAAAAUUAAUAUGAACCCUUACCCCGUACUGAAUAAUUCCAUAAAAAUAUGGAAAAUACCCUGCUGAAACUAGUAACAAGAAUAUGAUAUUCUCCAAAAUGCAAGUAUAAACCAAAAUGGACAUUCCACUGGUAAUUAACGAAAAUGAGUAAACUAUAAUAACUUAAUCAAGAAAAACUUAUAAAUUUCCUCGUUAACCUAACACUAGAGCAUUUCUGGAAAGAUUAAAAAAGAAAGAAGGAACUCGGCAAAUUUUAACCCCGCCUGUUUACCAAAAACAUCGCCUCUUGAUAAGCCAUAAGAGGUCCAGCCUGCCCAGUGAUAAAUUUAACGGCCGCGGUACCCUGACCGUGCGAAGGUAGCAUAAUCACUUGUUCUUUAAAUAGGGACUAGUAUCAAC